UGUGUGUGUGUGUGUGUGUGUGUGUGUGUGCAUGUCCAGGGCCCUUUGCAGACAACUGUUAUAAUUCUUUCAGUGGUUCCCAAGGUGAGCCUCAGGGUUCCCUGUGUUCUUAUGUUUUCCCUCUUUGUCCAGUGUCUUAGCUAUGGUCUCUAAAUAGACCUUUCAGUGUGUAUAUACGCUCUAAAUAUAUUGGUCAAGCUGUCUAUCUUGUUUCUCCAAGGCUGUUGGCCUGCAACUGACCUCUCUUGCCUUAUGGAGGAAGGUGAAUAUUAUGUUCCUUAAUCUUGCCCUCUGACCUCCUCUGCCAUCAUCCACUGUCUUCGAAACUCUCCUGCUCAAACCAAAGGCAGCACGAUCAUCAUGUUGUCCUUGAGCCAACAGUUAGUAUACAUUGUUACAAUACAUCAAAACCAGGGCAGCUCCCAGCUUUGGCCAUGUAGAGAGAUAUCAUGCCGGGAUAUGGAAAAGAUUCAACAAAAGCUAAAAUACUGAAAAUGAAUAAUUUUCUUGUUUCCUAAACCUUCAUCUUCAUCUCCACUCUCAGGUUUCUUCUCCCAGCCAGUAACCUAUAUACCCUGACAGCUCUAUCUAAUACGUGGCACACAAGCCUCAGGGACAGAGUAAAUCAUUGUAGGAGCACACCAUGUUUGCCGGACCUGGCUCAUUUGCUGUUCUUACAAAGAGGGAGAAUGCACACAUAUGUAUUGGCUCUUGGGGAUGCUACUGAAGGAAAACUGAGUCCUACAUAUAGUAUCCAGAGUUCAAUGUGUUUAUAAUCAAUUCACACAGCUUUAAAUUUAAAUUUAAGUAACUUAGAAAGACUUUAUUAAAAAUAUGAUAUCUGGCUGGCUGUGGUGGCACAGGCCUUUAAUCCCAGCACUUGGGAGUCAGAGGCAGGGGGAUCUCUGAGUUCAAGGCCAGCUUGGUCUACAGAGUGAGUUCUAUAACAGCCAAAGCUACACAUAGAAAUGUAAAAAUCUCUGCCUCAAGAAACCAAAAACCAAAGCAAAACAAAACAAGCAAGCAAACAAACACCCUCCCCUCAACCCAAAGAAACAGAAUCGAGGGCAUAGAAAGAUGGCUCAGCAGUUUAGAGUGUUUGCAGAGGAUGGUGCUCCAUUCCUACCACUUUGUUGGAAGGCUCACAAGUGUGAGUAACUCCAGCCCUUGGGGACCUGGAUCUUCUUCUGGCCUCUGUGGGCAAUUGCACUCCUGUGCACAUACCCAACCCCCAUGCAUAUAAUUAACAACCAAAUUCUUAAAAUAUAUAUCAUAUAUAUCCAGGCUGGGAUGUAGAUCAGUUGGUAGCUUGCCCUGCAUGUGUGGAGGGUUGAAUCACUAACAACAUGUGAACUGAGCAUGUAGCCUGCGCCUGAUAACAAACGUCACGGUCUGGAAUUGUUUUGGCAAAAACGAGACAGGUUAGCUUUAAGGCCUCGCUAGGCAUUCUGCCCUCCUUCUUUCUGUUGAAGGUAAAAGUUAAGGAUCACCUUCGAUAAACCUAGAUAAUCGACCAGGCUUGGAUGCUCAGUAGCUACACUGCAGUUUUGCACAAUCCUUUUGAAAUUUUUUUGUAUGUCAUAAAAAAAAAAAAAAUCUUCCUAGAAAUGGCUGCAUGAACAAGGCUGAAAUGCUUGCAAUACCCUUGGACAUGUUCAUGUGGUGGGGAAACUUUUACAGAGUCCCAUCCAAAACAAAGAACUACAGACAACUAAUGACUGCCGGGAGGAGAAUUAGCUGCCCCCAGGAAGGGAGCUUCCUUACUGGUUGUCCAAUAUAGAAUGGUCCAGCCGUGUGUGGUGGCGCACACCUUUAAUCCCAGCACUCGGGAGGCAGAGGCAGGCAGAUUUCUGAGUUCGAGGACAGCCUGGUCUAUAAAGUGAGUUCCAGGACAGCCAGGGCUAUAAAGAGAUACCCUGUCUCGAAAAACC
rnacentral:lncRNA from 1 species